rnacentral:rRNA from 1 species
GACGUAGGGAGCAAGCGUUGUCCGGAAUUACUGGGCGUAAAGCGUGCGCAGGCGGCUAUGCAAGACAGAUGUGAAAUCCCCGGGCUCAACCUGGGAACUGCAUUUGUGACUGCAUGGCUAGAGUACGGUAGAGGGGGAUGGAAUUCCGCGUGUAGCAGUGAAAUGCGUAGAUAUGCGGAGGAACACCGAUGGCGAAGGCAAUCCCCUGGACCUGUACUGACGCUCAUGCACGAAAGCGUGGGGAUCAAACAGG